GAAGCACUGAGAUCCAAGGCAAAGGAACCAGUGAGAGUAAAACAUAAAUCAUUUGACUCAUAGAGCAGCCUCAGAAACAAGGGCAGGUCACUGGAAGCAGAUCCCACUGCUAAGCGGGUCAGAACCAAAGUAGCAGACCGCCAAGGCCUGAAAGGAGGAGGAGGGGUUAGAGAGAAAGAGAAAAAGAAAGUGAUGGUCAACCAUGGGUGAAAUCUGUAAAAGUGUUUGCAAGAAUGAGAGCUUUACCCUCCUUUCCGUACAGAAUGGAUAGAACAGGACCGGAGAAGCAUUCUGUGGAUUUUUUGGGGGUGAGAAAUAUGGAGGAGGGAAAAUGGGUUAGUGGAGUGUGUUAUACGCCUGCGCAGAGAGGAAUAAGAAUGCAUACCUCUCAUGCAUCAGAUAGACAGAUGUUUGGAUUGAACAGAACUGUCCUUCAGUACCUGUGGUCAAUUCCUGUUGCAUGAGCAGCAAGCUGAUAACAGAUGUGGAUGAGACCACACUGCCACCUACAGACCUCAGAACAACACCCUCAGGACAUUCUCAGACCUUCAAAACCAGACUGAUAACUUUUGAGUAAAGAUACGUUUAUUUUAAUGGCAUAUUAAAAGCUGGAAUAUAUUAUACAACUUUUAUCAAUAUUUUUGCCCCUGUUUACAGUCUGGAC
ensembl:lncRNA